AGUGAACGCUGGCGGUAGGCCUAACACAUGCAAGUCGAACGGCAGCACAGUAAGAGCUUGCUCUUACGGGUGGCGAGUGGCGGACGGGUGAGGUAUACAUCGGAAUCUACUUUUUCGUGGGGGAUAACGUAGGGAAACUUACGCUAAUACCGCAUACGACCUACGGGUGAAAGCAGGGGAUCUUCGGACCUUGCGCGAUUGUAUGAGCCGAUGUCGGAUUAGCUAGUUGGCGGGGUAAAGGCCCACCAAGGCGACGAUCCGUAGCUGGUCUGAGAGGAUGAUCAGCCACACUGUAACUGAGACACGGUCCAGACUCCUACGGGAGGCAGCAGUGGGGAAUAUUGGACAAUGGGCGCAAGCCUGAUCCAGCCAUACCGCGUGGGUGAAGAAGGCCUUCGGGUUCUAAAGCCCUUUUGUUGGGAAAGAAAAGCAGCAGGUUAAUACCCCGCUGUUCUGACGGUACCCAAAGAAUAAGCACCGGCUAACUUCGUG
rnacentral:rRNA from 1 species